rnacentral:rRNA from 1 species
GCUGCUCCUAUAGAGCGAUUGAUUUAGCGGCCGCGAUUCGCCUUGUGCCAGCCGCCGCGUAAACGAUACUAGAGAGCAAGCGUUAAUCAGAAUUACUGGGCGUAAAGAGCUUGGAGGCGGUUUUUUAAGUCAGAUGUGAAAUACCUAAGCUUAACUUAGGAAUUGCAUUUGAAACUAAAUUACUAGGGUUUUGUAGAGGGGGGUAGAAUUCCAGGUGUAGCGGUGAAAUGCGUAGAGAUCUGGAGGAAUACCAGUGGCGAAGGCGACCCCCUGGACAAAGACUGACACUCAUGUACGAAAGCGUGGGGAGCAAACAGGAUUAGAUACCCUGGUAGUCCAUGCUGUAAACAAUGUCAAUUUGAAGGUUGUAGCCUUGAGUUAUAGCUUUCGUAGCUAACGCGUUAAAUUGACCGCCUGGGGAGUACGGCCGCAAGGUUAAAACUCAAAUGAAUUGACGGGGGCCCGCACAAGCGGUGGAGCAUGUGGUUUAAUUCGAUGCAACGCGAAAAACCUUACCUAUUCUUGACAUCCAAAGAAUAAAACAGAAAUGUUUUAGUGCCUUAGGGAACUUUGAGACAGGUGCUGCAUGGCUGUCGUCAGCUCGUGUUGUGAAAUGUUGGGGUUAAGUCCCGCAACGAGCGCAACCCCUAUCCUUUGUUGCCAUCGAGUAAAGUCGGGGAACUCAAAGGGAGACUGCUUGGGGAUAAACCCGGAGGAAGGUGGGGGACGACGUCAAGUCAUCAUGGCCCUUACGAAAUAGGGCUACAACACGGGCUACCAUGGCAUAUACAAAAGAGAAGCGAUCUUGCAAAAGCUAGCAAAUCCUCAUAAAGUAUUGUCGGUAGUUCGGGAUUUGGAGUCUGGCACUUCGGACUCCAUGAAAGUCCGGAAAUCCGCUAGAAAUCCGAAGAUCAAGAAUGGCUACGGGGGAAUACGUUCCCCGGGG